rnacentral:rRNA from 1 species
AUUGAACGCUGGCGGCAGGCCUAACACAUGCAAGUCGAGCGGCAGCGGGAAAGUAGCUUGCUACUUUUGCCGGCGAGCGGCGGACGGGUGAGUAAUGCCUGGGAAAUUGCCCAGUCGAGGGGGAUAACAGUUGGAAACGACUGCUAAUACCGCAUACGCCCUACGGGGGAAAGCAGGGGACCUUCGGGCCUUGCGCGAUUGGAUAUGCCCAGGUGGGAUUAGGUAGUUGGUGAGGUAAUGGCUCACCAAGGCGACGAUCCCUAGCUGGUCGGGGAGGCUGAUCAGCCACACUGGAACUGGGACACGGUCCAGACUCCUGCGGGAGGCAGCAGUGGGGAAUAUUGCACAAUGGGGGAAACCCUGAUGCAGCCAUGCCGCGUGUGUGAAGAAGGCCUUCGGGUUGUAAAGCACUUUCAGCGAGGAGGAAAGGUCAGUAGCUAAUACCUGCUGGCUGUGACGUUACUCGCAGAGGAAGCCCCGGCUAACUUCGUGCCAGCCGCCGCGGUAAAAC